UGUGGUUACAAUAGCAGAGAGGAUACACCUGUUCCCAUUCCGAACACAGAAGUUAAGCUCUCUAGCGCUGAUGGUACUUGGUGGGAAACUGCCUGG
rnacentral:rRNA from 6 species